rnacentral:rRNA from 1 species
GACGAACGCUGGCGGCGUGCUUAACACAUGCAAGUCGAACGGUAAGGCCCUUCGGGGUACACGAGUGGCGAACGGGUGAGUAACACGUGGGUGAUCUGCCCUGCACUUCGGGAUAAGCCUGGGAAACUGGGUCUAAUACCGGAUAGGACUCCUGGCUUCAUGGUUGGGGGUGGAAAGCUUUUGCGGUGUGGGAUGGGCCCGGGGCCUAUCAGCGUGUUGGUGGGUGAGUGGCCUACCAAGGCGACGAAGGGUAGCCGGCCUGAGAGGGGGACCGGUCACACUGGGACUGAGAUACAGCCCAGACGCCUAGGGGAGGCAGCAGUGGGGAAUAUUGCACAAUGGGCGCAAGCCUGAUGCAGCGACGCCGCGUGAGGGAUGACGGCCUUCGGGUUGUAAACCUCUUUCAGCUAUGACGAAGCGCAAGUGACGGUAGUAGCAGAAGAAGGACCGGCCAACUACGUGCCAGCCGCCGCAGUAA